rfam:Rhizobium mesoamericanum STM3625 genomic scaffold, ANZ_1636
GGAGGGGCGACCGACCGCGGGGAGGAGGAAGCGUGGAUCAAACCAAGCGGGGCCGACGGACAAGAGCCGGAUAUAUGAGGAGGUGCCGACCAGGGUGAGCGGCAAUGGAUCGCGAACCACUUGUGGCCAAGCGGCGGUGGCGAAAAUCCAGCACUCGUGCAGGGAAGGAGUGCUUU